CUUGACCAAGGACAGGCUGGAGCCACUUAUUUGUUUAGCCCUGGAGUGGAGUCACUAAGGCGUACAGGAGCUACGGGCUGGUGAACACCAACCUCUCCACCUCAUGCGGGGGAGUCACUCUCACGGGGAAACAAUGCAAACCGAACUCAAAAGCAUCCCAGCAGUUUGUUUGUUACACUGAAAAGAAAUUACUCUGCAGCUAAAACUCGGUUCUGUUGGUUCGUUCAAGGAUUUGCAGCAGAACUGUGGAUUCAGCAGAAUAUCCAACAAUACAGAAGUGUGAAGCUUCCUGUCUUGUCAGGCAUUGUGGGAGAAAUCCCUCCUCCUUAAGUGCUUCCAUGUUUGCUUUUGUGCCAAGCGAGCCCAUUCUGCUGACCUUUAAGAGACGCUCCGUCUUCCUGUGACAGCGGCAGGACAAAAAACGACAAGCUAAUUAAACUGGGCUGCAGGGGAAAAAACAAAUGAAAGCACCUAAAAAGGAAGUUAAAACUCCGUUUUGAGGAUGUUAUCGGUGGUCUACGCAGACUUCCUGCCGGCCGAACAGAUAACCCACCCCCCAAACUCUGGUGCUGCUGGUUCAUUUCUGCUGGUCACGGCGUGUUGGAUUUCCGCCAGGGAGAGGCGAACGUGCGGUGGGAAUGGUGGCGGCGAGGUUUCAUGAAUGCGAAGAGACUCGCAGUCCCCUCCGGGAACCAUAAUGACCAAAAUGCACAGAAGAAAUUGUUUUGUAGCAAGUCGUCACGCAAGCAUGUAACCCAACAGUGCAAUCAUGAUGUUUGUACCUGCAGGUAAACAAAUAAAGUCUUCAUGAACUCCAA